UACGUAGGGCGCGAGCGUUGUCCGGAAUUAUUGGGCGUAAAGAGCUCGUAGGCGGUUUGUUGCGUCGGAUGUGAAAGCCCGGGGCUUAACCCCGGGUCUGCAUUCGAUACGGGCAGACUGGAGUGUGGUAGGGGAGAUCGGAAUUCCUGGUGUAGCGGUGAAAUGCGCAGAUAUCAGGAGGAACACCGGUGGCGAAGGCGGAUCUCUGGGCCAUUACUGACGCUGAGGAGCGAAAGCGUGGGGAGCGAACAGG
rnacentral:rRNA from 1 species